GAUAUGAAGUAAGAAAGUUGAAUGCUGAGAAACGCCCUCGUAUUAAAGUAAUAUACGUCUCUUUCUAUAAUGCAUUUUCUACUCUGGUUAAAUAGUUUAAGUCUCAUUUUAAUAAUAUUCCAUUGUUUUAUUGUUUCAAUUUGCAGGGAAGGUUCGUGAAAAGAAACUGAAUGAGAUACUUUUUAUUAUUUUUCUGAGUUACAAUUUUAAGUUAAAGACCUUCUUAGAAUGGAAUUACGUAUUUUGGACAACGUACAUAUGUAUUUUUAUUUCAAAAUGAAGAUAAUAAUGAAAAAUGUUACAUUUUAUUAAUAAAACUUAUUAAUUGUCACAUUCUUACCAGACAAACACAAAGAAGAGAACAAUAGCAAACGUGUUACAUGAGCCAUCAAGCUUCCCAUUUUGCAAAAUGAAAACCAGCGAAAUUUGAGAAAUGGGACCACGACGAAUUAUUAGUACGAGAGCAUUAAAUUAAAUUAAAAAAAAAAUUGAGUUUUUAUUUUUUGCAAAAAUUACUUUUUUUAUUUUUAUAUGUUGGAGGCAUCAAGGAUGAAGAUGAGAUGAAACCGGUAUUCAAGAUUCUCGAACACCAAAUCGGGUGGAAGGCCGAUAUUGAGAACUGAAUAGAAGUAAUAUUAUAGGUACGAAUAAUACCGGGAAUAAUACUGGUUUUUGGUACUAACAUUGGUACCGACCGCAUCAAUCCCAAAUUUCAAU
rnacentral:lncRNA from 1 species